CCUCCUUUCUUCCGCCGUGCGGCCUCUUGGUCCCUGGCCGCCCGUCUGCCCCAGCCAUGCCGCGUGCAGGAUGACGGCUCUCUGAGUUGUAAACUGCUUUUGUACGAGGGUAAACCCCGAUACGUGAAUCGGGGUGAAAGUAUCGUACGUAUAAGGAUAGGCUAACUCAGUGCCAGCAGCCGCGGUACUACGGAGGAUCCGAGCGUUAUCCGGAUUUAUUGGGUUUAAAGGGUGCGUAGGCGGUUUGAUAAGUUAGAGGUGAAAUGUCGGGGCUCAACCCCGAAACUGCCUCUAAUACUGUUGGACUAGAGAAUAGUUGCGGUAGGCGGAAUGUAUGGUGUAGCGGUGAAAUGCUUAGAGAUCAUACAGAACACCGAUGGCGAAGGCAGCUUACCAAACUAUAUCUGACGUUGAGGAACGAAAGCGUGGGUAGCAAACAGGAUUAGAUACCCCAGUAGUC
rnacentral:rRNA from 1 species